CCCUUAGAUGUCCUGGGCCGCACGCGCGUUACACUGAUGCAUUCAACGAGCUUAUAACCUUGGCCGAGAGGCCUGGGCAAUCUUGUUAACGUGCAUCGUGAUGGGGAUAGAUUAUUGAAAUUAUUAAUCUUGAACGAGGAAUUCCUAGUAAACGCAGAUCAUCAAUCUGCAUUGAUUACGUCCCUGCCCUUUGUACACACCGCCCGUCGCUCCUACCGAUUGAAUGCUCAGGUGAGCCAUUCGGACUUUCAUCAUGCUGGUUUCCAGUUUUGAUGAAGGAAAGUCUUGCGAACCUUAUCAUUUAGAGGAAGGAGAAGUCGUAACA
rnacentral:rRNA from 1 species